GCCCUUGUGGUGGAAUUGGUAGACACGCAGGACUUAAAAUCCUGUUCGCAGCAAUGCGAGUAACGGUUCAACUCCGUUCGGGGGCAC
rnacentral:tRNA from 1 species